GAUGAAGAACGCAGCGAAAUGCGAUAAGUAAUGUGAAUUGCAGAAUUCAGUGAAUCAUCGAAUCUUUGAACGCGCAUUGCGCCCGCCAGUAUUCUGGCGGGCAUGCCUGUUCGAGCGUCAUUUCAACCCUCAAGCCCCCGGGCUUGGUGUUGGGGAUCGGCGUGCCCUCGCGGCGCGCCGUCCCCUAAAUCUAGUGGCGGUCUCGCUGUAGCUUCCUCUGCGUAGUAGCAACACUCGCACUGGAUCGCAGCGCGGCCACGCCGUUAAACCCCCCACUUCUGAAAGUUUGACCUCGGAUCAGGUAGGAAUACCCGCUGAACUUAAGCAUAUCAAUAAGCGGAGGA
rnacentral:misc_RNA from 1 species